GUGCUCACUUUGACAGCAAAUAUACUAAAAUUGGAACAACACAAAGAAGAUUAAUAUGGCUCAAGUGCAAGGAUGACACACAAAUUCAUAAUUCAUGAAGUGUUCACUAUUUUU
ensembl:snRNA U6 U6 spliceosomal RNA